GGAGCUGGGACGGUGAGGAAGUGAGCAGAGGAGCUCAGCGUGCUCUGCUGCCCGCUUGGCUCUCUGGAACGCAGCGCAGCUGGGACUGCAUUUCUUCCUCUGGACCACGGGAGACACGAGAUGACCUCACAUUUCUUCCUCUGGACCACGGGAGACACGAGAUGACCUCGCUGCGCAGCUCUGCACGCAUGGAUCGAUGAAAGCUUUCAACUCCCCGAUGCCUCCUUUGGAGCGUCUUCAUGUGAAGCCUCCCAGGGGGCAAUUUUUACUGUCCUCCUCCUCGCCGGCAGCCCCCAGUUUCCCUUCGGGGACCCAGCGGGCAGCAUCUGCCUCUGACGCCCUUUCAGCGUUCCGUUGUGUGCGCUGAGCGCUUGGCUGAUGGCUCCCGUGGGGUUGUGCAAACCCCUCGCAAGGCUUUUGUUCAGGCUGUCCCGGCAGCUGCAGGUGCCUUCCGCGCACAGCUGCGGGCGCUGAGCACGUUCAGCAUCUGCACCAGCUGCGGCACUGGGCUCGUGUUCUGCUUUCCGUGCUCGCACGCUGCAGCGCUCCUUGCAUUUGCAUCCCAGGGCUCAGAGGGAACCCGAGUGCGGUGGUCUGACAGCAGCAGGCAGUGCCUUGCUCGCCCACUCCCCGAUGAGACAGUGGGGGGGGGGGGAUAUACGGUGAAAUGCUCACACUGUGGGCUGAAUUGAGCACACGCUGAGAACGUGCCUGAAUGGCGAGGACAGCUUUUCUAUAUUGUGAGAAUGGCGUUUUGCAUAACCUGGUGUAAGCUGUAGUACGAGAGGCUUGCGUGAAUGUAAGCUCAAGAACAGAACGUGGAGGAGGGCAUGGAGUUCGUUGUCAAGUGAAGGUAAGGCAGUAGAAUAGAUGUCCUGUUGUGAUGGCAAAACAGGUGCCUCAGCUCAAUGUAACACCAGUGGGAAGCGGUUUGGGUACUCCUCUUAAAAGGCUGGAAAUUUUCAUGGAGAAUGCAUCCCAGGACCACCAGAGAUGUUAAUUAUUUCUUGGAAUGUCUGCCCAUGUCCUUGGAGUCUAAUGAAUAUGUAUAGACCGUACCUUUCUGUAUGUAGUCACUGUUUCUCUUGGUGUGCAUGUCGAUCCCCCAUGCAGCCAGCGCUGUUGUAAAGGGAAUACCUGCUUGACAUAACUCAUUAGUGUGUCAAGUUACUCUGUCGGUUUUCUUGGCUCCAGUUGUCGAUCCAGGCCUGAGCAUCUCUGCUCAACUGUGGGACCCACUGAGAGGACUCCCUGUGCCCACCAGCAGCUUGUCUGGGAGGGACUCCAACUCUCAGGCAGAUCACUGCAGGAGCAAGCCAAAUCCUCUGGAUAAAGGUAUUCCCUAAGUCUGGAUUCUUUUCCUCUGGUUCUUUUCUUUGGUUAAGGCCUUGGGGAAAAGCACUCGUGAGCCAGGUUGGGCAGCACAGAGUGCACGGCAGUAAAAAUUGUGUGUCAGCCCUGAGGGCACCAAACUGGUAAUUUAUUUUGGCACGGGAUGGAAACCGUGAGUCUGCCUGACAGUUAACAGGGCUACGGCCCUGGCAAAGUAGCCGUGUUAGGAGGGACGUUUACAGUUUGGGGUAAAAUAGCUGACUGUAACACUGUACCGCCAGGGGGACUUGGCAGGAAAGUGACGAGUGGAACUUUGUGCACUGCCAUUUGUGGAAAUCGAUAGCUGCACCGUUCUGAACUGAGGUGGUCCUAACGCCGUCUACAUCUAUGAGCAGUUUCCAAAUAGCAAAUAUAGCCGCACUGCUAAAUUUACUACGCCAGCAAGCUAACCUAUUCAGUCGUGUAAAUGCUGCAGGUGCACCCCAGCCUGAGCCGCCAAGGCAGCCAUGGCAGUGGUUUCAGCAGCAGGUGCAGCUGUAAACUCAGACUGAGCGGACCGAACCUGCUGGUAUACCGUUGACACCUCUGAGCUACCACUAGGUAGCUAUAUCACUAGGUAGUGAUAGGACUAGGAGGAUCUUAUUUAAACUGAAAGGGGGCAGGUUUUAAGUUAGAUGUUAGGAAGAAAUUAGCAGUGUCCAGGCCAUCAGCAUCUAUGGAAGAUGCUGUGGGUAGGAAGCUAGCUAGAUUAUCAGGGGCUAACGUUACCAGUGAUAUGGAGUUCCUCUGGUCACAAAUUAAAACCACGAUCCCCCAGUGACUAGUAACUGUGCCAACAUGUUUGAAUGUUUUCAUUAACUGACUUGCUCUGUGAUGGCACAGAACGCAGUGUUGGUCCUUUUUCUUGAUGACUCAGAGCUCAAAGGUGUCCGUGGUUUAUGGGCUGGUUCCGCCUGGUUCCGUGACUAAUGGUAGUGGGGGGACUUCUUUCUACAAAGAGGUUGUCUGAGCAGCCAGGGAUCAGGUUAGGAUAGCUAAAACCCAGAUGGAAUUAAAUCUAGCCAGGGACAUAAAGAGGAACAAGAAGAUUCUAUAGAUACAUAAGCAACAAAAGGAAGGCCAGGGAAGAUGUGGACCCUCUCUGGAAGGAAGACCAGAGACCUGGUCACAAGGGAUAUAGAGACCUGGUCACAAGGGAUAUGGAGAAAGCUGAGGUGCUCAAUGACUUCUUUGCCUCAGUCUUCGUUGGCAAGGGCUCUAGCCACACAGCACAACCUGCAGAAAGCAAAGGUAAGAACUGGGAGAAGGAAGAUCUGCUGUCUGUAAGUGAAGAUCAGGUUCAAGACCAUCAAAAGAACCUGAAGGUGCACAAGUACGUGGGACCCAAUGAGAUCUAUACGCAGGUUCUAAGGAAACCGGCGGAUGAAGUUGCCAAACUGCUGUCCACCACAUUUGGAAGGUCAUGACAGUCUGGUGAAGUACCCACUGUUUGCAACAGUGCAGUUGUCCGACUCUAGAGGGUCAGUAAGUCAUAUCACGCUUGCUUAGGGAGCUUCUGCUUGCCGCAUAUAGGGCUAUCUAAGUGUAUGAAUGUGUGUGUGCAUGCCAAGGAAAUCUUGCAUCUGUUGGAAGCUGUGAAUUUACCGGAGAACAUUUUUGUUAUACAUUGUAGGGGACAUCAGAAGUGCAACCCUGUAGAGGAAAUUGGAAAUAAGAUGGCGGAUCAGGCAGCAAAGCAGGCAGCUGAAGGAAAAGAAAUUGGUGAACUGACUUUAAUUCCAGACAGUCAACUUCAGAUCUCUGAAUUUGAGUCAGAACCUGUAAAAUAUUCUAGAGUGGAUAGGAAUUAAUUUAAUGAAUGAUUUAGAAGGAAAGGAGCAAACUGACAGAUGGACAUACACACCUGAUGGAUGUGCUGUCGUGCCCUUUAGCAGCCUAUGGAAGUCGGUUCUAAGGGAACAUAAUAAAACUCACUGGGGAGUGGAUGCUAUUUAUAAGUAUCCGAACAAAGUAAUUGUCAGUUGCAAUCUGUAUAACGCAACGAAACAGGCUAUUCAUCAAUGUGAAAUCUGUCUGAAGAACAAUCCUAAUGCUAGAAGAGGGUACAAGUGGCAUCUAUCAGGACAGAGAACGUUCCAGGAAAACAAUGGCAAAUAACUUUUCAGAACUUCCGAGAAAACGGGAGUAUCAGUACUUACUGGUGCUGACAGACACUUUUUCAGGUUGUCCUGAAGCUUUUACUUGUAGAACAGAUAAGGUGAGAGAAGUUAGAUGAGUGUUAUUGAAUGAAAUAAUAUCUCAAUUUGGGGUGCGUGUCAUGAUAUCAUCAGGCAGGGGUACUCAUUUCUGUGAGCAAGAGGUACAGCAAGUCAGCAAAAUAUUGGGAAUUUAUCGGCAAUUGCACCUGUCUAUCAAAUUUGGAAUCAGACAGAAUUCAAGAAUAUAUUCAAAAGUUUAAUAAAACCUUUCAUGAAUCCAUAAUGAAAAUGAUAAUUACCCAAAAUGAACUGAAACAGAUUUCAUGGCAAACUGAGGCACAGACAUCUCAUCAUUGGUGGGACAUCUUUGUCGGGUAUUCCCUGAUAUUAUCGAAGGUAUCGGGCGUAUUAAUUCAUCCACUAUUAGUGCUGCUGGUGAUAAGUCUGAUAUUAACAAUUAUAAUCUGCUUCUUUUAGUAUAAACUUAAGAAAUAAAUCCAAAGGGUUUGGGCAUUGCCUACAGUGAUUAAGCAUGAGCAACAUGAGCUUUUGCAAAACAAUUUGCAAGGUUAUUGGAAACGGGGGGAACUGAUUUAAGAAAGAAUUAAACAAAAUAUUCUGUCAGUAUAUCCUUAUAAGAUUGUUGUGUAAUAUGGGUAACACUUGCAACACCAUAGUAGGCUUUUAGAUGUUAUGGGUGAUAAUUGUGAUGCCUCACUGUAAAUGAGGAGGCAUGCUGUGAGACUGAUCUGCUUCACCAUGAUACAGGUUAUCACAAUAUAGUUAAGCUUACCAGUGUUUGUUGAUAGAUACCCCUGCCCUGCAAUUUGUUUAGAUAACAGAAAGAGCUGUGACUCUGAACCAAGGAGAUAAGGAAGUCCUGCUGAGCCUUUGUACCAAGGACAUAGGAGGUCCUGCCUGGAAUCAGUCACUGAAUCUGUAACAUACUUCUGGGAAAACGUGCGUAUGUAACAUAGCUCUGAGAAACUUCCACGUAUGUAGCGUACCUCUUGGAAAACUUCUGCAGGUGUAACACAAGUUAUAUAUAUGAACUGAAGAUCUCUUGUGUAAGCUGUGCGUGAUAGGAGGAUUACCCCUGUGCAUCCAGCGCUGCCACUAAGAAUAUCUCCUUAAUGAUAGUAAAACUUUUGCUGUUAAGUCUCUCUGCAUCGAUUUCUUCUAAUGAAUUGGAAGCAAAAAUUGGGAAGAAUUAAGGGAAGAAUCUUCCCCAGCAAAGCCUUGCCAGGCGGGGAAGAUGAAACAAGCUGAAAUAGGAGAUCAGGUGCUUGGCAUUGAGUGCCCUCCCACCACCUCCACAGGAGGGGAGAGCCCUGGGGCGGGGCGGGAGGAGAUGGGACACAACACUCAUCUGUGUUCUUCCCGUUCUUCUUUCCUGCUACAGGUAUUACAAUCCUGGAAGCAAUGUUUGGGUUACUCUGGCUAAUGCAACUGGACAAGAUAUGCUAUGCGUAAGUACUGCAACCCCGUCAAACUCAGUUCCUGACCUGCCUGGUCAGAGUGCCACGGACUGAAAAUGACUCUCGUGUACUCCAGAACUUCCCAGAUUUACCCGGCCUGAAUGGCAAGGACAUGUGGCUUUCCUGCCAUGUGUUGGGGAAACUCCAGUUCUUACUCCUGAGGAACUCCGGAUGCUGGGGACACUGUACGCUGACUGUCGUACCACGCUCAUGCCUAACACGAGCUGUUGGCACACUGCCAGCUACCCAAGAGGUGGAGCCCCGACGACAGUUGUCUACUCAACAAAAGUGGGUUAUUGGAACGACUCAGUGUGGUGUAAUCACACUGCAAGUAAUGUAUCAAUGGGCUAUAACACCCCAAUGUCCCCGCCAAAGGCAGAUUUUUUAUCAGGGGGGAACAGGUUUGGGCAGGCAUACCUGCUGGGGCUCUGGGAGAGCCACGUACUGGUGAAUGACUACUUGUUUUUAUACCCAAAAUCACCAUGGCAAUUGCAUGGCAGUGGAAAAAAAAAAAAAAAAAAAAAGAAAGAAAACAACACAGACUCGGCGAUCCACCCAGGAAUUUUAUACUUACUCGCUGGAUUGUAAGUCCGAGUUUACAGCUGCACCUGCUGCUGAAAUCAUUGCCAUGGCUGCCUUGGCAGCCCAGGCUGGGGUGUGGCUGCAGCAUUAACACAGUUGAAUAGGUUAGCUUGCUGGCGUAGUAAAUUUAGCAGUGCUGCUACAUUUGCAAUUUGGAAACUGCUCAUAGAUGUAGACGGCGUUAGGACCACCUCAGUUCAGAACGGUGCAGCUAUCGAUUUCCCACUGCUUACCCAAGGCCGUGGAUGCCAGGCCUUUGAUGGACUCUGCUGCAUGAAGCUUUUGGACCAUUCCUAAUCCAUCCAAAGCCACCUGGAUGAAUUAAGGGAUCUUGCUGAUCAGCUGCAGGAGUCCUCAGGAUGGAAUCCUUUUUCAGCCUGGGACUGGGGAUGGGGAUUAUAGAAAAAGAUAGUAUGGAUAGGCUGUAUCUUGGACGUAUGUUUCCUCACUCUUCUGUGCAGUAUUCCAUGCUACUUACAACUUGUACAACAAGCUAUGGAAAGUGCUUUCUGUGGACUUGCAGCAAAAGUAGUGCAGUAACACCAUGUUCCAAACCAGGAUCACGCAGUGCCAUGUGUCAGGGAUCAGAAAGUUCUGACCAAAGAGUCAGAAGAGUUCCUGAGUUGGAACAAGGCAUUCUGGGAAGGUGGUUACAGCUGACUUAGCUUAUUUUGCUAGAAGCUGACCUUGCUGGUUUAUGUUGUUUCGCAAGAAGCUGAACUAGUUUUGCAGGAAGUUGCUCUGCUUCGUCUCUGUAUCCUACGCUGGCCACGCAGCUGCCGUGUGCAAAUGGAAAAAACCCUGCAGACAGUGGGAGAGAAUAAAAGCAGGAGGGAGGCUAUGGUGGAUCCCGGGAGGACAAGUGCACCUUGAAACAGGGGAUGCACCGUGGGCACCAUCUACUGAAACCACUGUGGGCGUGUUCCAUCUCAUCCUCCUGCUCAGCACUUUGUCCGUCCCUAGGAGGUCGAUCAAUCAGAGCCUGUCAAUGAGGCUUUCUACCUCCAGCUACGGGAGGUGUCAUGAUCACAAUUGCUCGUCCUGCUAGGGGACUUCAGCCACUCAGACAUCUGCUGGAAAAGUAGGACAGCAAGCUGUAAGUGAUCUAGGAGGCUCCUGGAAUGCACUGAGAAUAACUUACUGAUUCAAGUAUCCAGCAUGGAGGAUGCACUACUGGACCUGUUGCUCACCAGUGUACGUGAGCUGAGCAGUGACAUCAGAAUUGGAGGCUGCCUGGGCUGUAGCGACCAUGCUAUGAUUGAGGUCACGCUUUGGAAGGACGUGAGACAGGCAAAGAAUAAAAUUAGGGGGCUAAAAUUUAGGAAAGCUAACUUCCAGCUCUUCAGGGAGUUAAUCCAAAACACCCUGGGAAACUGUCCUCAUGGGCAAGGGUGCAAGGCAGAUAUGGCAGAUCUUUAAGGAGGCUUUCUUCAGGGCUCAAGAGCUCUCCAUCCCAGAUGUGGCAAGUCAGGAAAGGAAGGCAAGAGACUAGCAUGGCUGAACUGGGACCCACUGGUCAAACUGAAGAGCAAGAACAGAAUGCACAGGCGGUGGAAACAGCGACAGGCAUAAGGAAGCUGCUAGACUGUAUAGGGAUGAGGUCAGGAAAAGCGAGGCCCAGUUUGAACUGAGCUUGACUAGGGAUGCCAAGAAGAACAAGAAAGGUACCUCAGUCAGAAGAGGAAAGUCCAGGAGGGCAUACCCACCCUAGUGAGAGACGCAGGCAGGCUGGUAACAACGGACAAGGAGAAGGCUGAGGUACGUACAAUGUUUUUUUUCCCUCGGUCUUCUCUGGUAACUGCUCACUGCACAGCCCUCAGACAUUUAUUUGGUUUGGUAGGAGGGGAUACAGGAAGCAACGACCCUCCCCCUGUAGGCAAAGAUCAGGUUCGUGACCACCUGAGGAACCUGAACAUCCAGAAGUCUAUGGGUCCCAAUGAGAUGCACCCCAGAGUCCCGAGGGAAUUGGCUGAUGUGGUUGCCAAGCCACUCUCUACAAAAUUUCAAAAGUCAUGGCAAUCAGCAGUAAGCCCUUGGUGGCUGGAAAAAAGGAAACAUCAUACCUAUUUUUAAAAAGGGUAAAAAAGAUUGCCUUGGGAACAACCGGCCUCUCAGUCUCACCUCUGUGCCGGGGAAGAUCAUGAAGCAGAUCCUCCUGGAAGCAAUGCUAAGGCACAUGGAAGGCAGGGAGGAGAUACGGGAGAACCAGCAUGGCUUCACCACAGGCAAAUCCUGUUUGACCAACCUAGUGCCCUUCUGUGAUGGUGUCACCGUAUCAAUGGACAAGAGAAGAGCCACUGAUGUCACCUAUCUGGACUUCAGCAAGGCCUCUGACACAGUACCCCACAGCAUCCUUCUCUCCAAAUUGAAGAGACAUGGAUUUCACAGGUGGACUGUUUUAUGGACGAAGAACUGGCCGCAGGAGAGUGGUGGUCACUGGCUCAGUGUUUGGAUGGAGACCAGUGAUGAGUGGUGUCCGCCAGGGGUCAGUGGUGGGGCUGAUACUCUUAAUAUCUUCCUCAGUGACAUCAACAGUGGGCUCAAGUGCCCCCUCAGCAAGUUUGCUGAUGACACCAAGCUGUGGGGUGCAGUCACACAUCAGAGGGACAGGAUGCCAUCCAGAGGGACCUAGACAGGCUUGAGCAGUGGGCCCAGGUGAACCUCAUGAUGUUCAGCAACCCAAGGGCAAAGUCUUGCACCCGGGUCGAGGCAACCCCCAUUACUAAUACAAGGUGGGGGAUGGAAGGAUUGAGAGCAGCCCUUCCGAAAAGGACCUGGGGGUACUGGUGGAUGGCAAACUGGACAUGAGCCAGCAAUGUGCUCUCGCAGCCCAAAAAGCCAACCUUAUCCUGGGCUGCAUCUAAAGAAGCAUGGGCAGCAGGACGAGGGAGGUGAUCCUGCACCUCUAUUCUGCACUGGUGAGGACACACGUGGAGUACUGUGCCCAGAUGUGGAAUCCUCAGUACAGGAAAGACAUGGACCUGUUGGAGUGCGUCCACCAAAGGGCCACAAAAAUGAUUAACAGAAUGGAACACCACCUCUCCUAUGAGGACAGACUGGGAGAGCUGGGGCUGUGCAGCCUGGAGAAGAGAAGGCUGCGAGGUGACAUGAGAGCGGCCUCUCAAUAUCUAAAGGGGAGCUACAGGAAAGAAGGGACAGACUCUUCAGCAGGGUCUGUGGUGAUAGAACAAGGGGAAAUGGCUUCCAGCUCAGGGAGAGGAGAUUCAGGAUAGGUAUAAGCAAAAAAAAUCUUUUACAGUGAGGGUAGCAAGGCAUAGGAAGAGGUUACCUAGUGUUGUGGUUGAUGCCCCAUCCCUGUGCCAACUGGGGGAUCUUUUGAGUGACUGGAAGCACGCCUAAAGGGGACCACUACCCAAGAAAGAGCUGCAGAAAUCCUGUUAGAAAAUGGUACGGCCAUCCAACGGGAGGUACAGAAAAAUACCUGGCUCACUGAGAAGCACUGCGAGUGCAGCCCCCAACACACAAACACAGCGAGCCUCAGCACAGAAGGGAGCUGCCAGCACAGCAGCCUGCUGGAGCACCACCUCUGCUGAUGUUUUCUACAGCAGGAAUGGCGCACAGCCCUCAGGUAAGGCAGUGCCGAGACGAUCCUCCACCCUUCCUCCCCAGCAGAGCCCGAAUGGAUGGCAAAUGGAAAUGCCGUGCCCGCGCUGCCACGGGGUGAGGGAGGAAAGGGUGACGCACCCCGCCCUGCUCGGCCUCACCUGGCUGACUCUGCUGGGAAGUCAGCCAUUCUCCUCUUUUCCAUUGGUAAGAAAACAAGUUCACCGCCUUCCUUAAGCACUACUUGGUGUAUAUUUUUAUAUAUAAAUAAACAUAUACAGGCUACUAUCG